rnacentral:rRNA from 1 species
GAUGAACGCUGGCGGCGUGCCUAAUACAUGCAAGUCGAGCGAACGGACGAGAAGCUUGCUUCUCUGAUGUUAGCGGCGGACGGGUGAGUAACACGUGGAUAACCUACCUAUAAGACUGGGAUAACUUCGGGAAACCGUAGCUAAUCCCGGAUAAUAUUUUGAACCGCAUGGUUCAAAAGUGAAAGACGGUCUUGCUGUCACUUAUAGAUGGAUCCGCGCUGCAUUAGCUAGUUGGUAAGGUAACGGCUUACCAAGGCAACGAUGCAUAGCCGACCUGAGAGAGUGAUCGGCCACACUGGAACUGAGACACGGUCCAGACGCCUGCGGGAGGCAGCAGUAGGGAAUCUUCCGCAAUGGGCGAAAGCCUGACGGAGCAACGCCGCGUGAGUGAUGAAGGUCUUCGGAUCGUAAAACUCUGUUAUUAGGGAAGAACAUAUGUGUAAGUAACUGUGCACAUCGUGACGGUACCUAAUCAGAAAGACACGGCUAACUACGUG